rnacentral:rRNA from 1 species
UACGGGGGGGGCAAGCGUUGUUCGGAAUUACUGGGCGUAAAGGGCUCGUAGGUGGCCAACUAAGUCGGACGUGAAAUCCCUCAGCUUAACUGGGGAACUGCGUCCGAUACUGGAUGGCUUGAGUUUGGGAGAGGGAUGCGGAAUUCCAGGUGUAGCGGUGAAAUGCGUAGACAUCUGGAGGAACACCGGUGGCGAAGGCGGCAUCCUGGACCGACACUGACGCUGAGGAGCGAAAGCCAGGGGAGCAAACGGG